AACGAACGCUGGCGGCGUGGAUUAGGCAUGCAAGUCGAACGCGAAAGAGGGGGGUAACUCCUCGAGUAGAGUGGCGAACGGGUGAGUAACACGUGAGAAACCUGCCUUCAGCAGGGGGAUAACACUCCCAACGGGGUGCUAAUACCGCAUGAGACCACGGAUUCGCAUGGAUCUGGGGUCAAAGGUGGCCUCUGCUUGCAAGCUACCGGCUGAAGAUGGUCUCGCGUCCCAUUAGCUAGUUGGUGGGGUAAUGGCCCACCAAGGCGACGAUGGGGUAGCUGGUCUGAGAGGAUGGUCAGCCACACUGGGACUGAGAUACGGCCCAGACUCCUACGGGAGGCAGCAGUCGGGAGGCUUUGGCAAUGGGGAAACCCUGACCAAGCGACGCCGCGUGUGUGAAGAAGGCC
rnacentral:rRNA from 1 species